UGCAUAUUCCCUUCAUCCCAAAAUUCUUGUCUUAGAUUUGUCAAAAUAUGGAUGUAUCUAGUCAUGUUUUAGUGUUAGUUACAUCUGUAUCUAGAGAAAUCUUAUGUAAGAAUUUUGGGACGGAGGUAGUAUGAU
rfam:Hordeum vulgare subsp. vulgare, WGS project CAJW01000000 data, contig: morex_contig_1770411